rnacentral:rRNA from 1 species
CAGCAGCCGCGGUAAUACGGAGGGUGCGAGCGUUAAUCGGAAUUACUGGGCGUAAAGCGCAUGCAGGUGGUUUGUUAAGUCAGAUGUGAAAGCCCGGGGCUCAACCUCGGAAUAGCAUUUGAAACUGGCAGACUAGAGUACUGUAGAGGGGGGUAGAAUUUCAGGUGUAGCGGUGAAAUGCGUAGAGAUCUGAAGGAAUACCGGUGGCGAAGGCGGCCCCCUGGACAGAUACUGACACUCAGAUGCGAAAGCGUGGGGAGCAAACAGGAUUAGAUACCCUGGUAGUCCACGCCGUAAACGAUGUCUACUUGGAGGUUGUGGCCUUGAGCCGUGGCUUUCGGAGCUAACGCGUUAAGUAGACCGCCUGGGGAGUACGGUCGCAAGAUUAAAACUCAAAUGAAUUGACGGGGGCCCGCACAAGCGGUGGAGCAUGUGGUUUAAUUCGAUGCAACGCGAAGAACCUUACCUACUCUUGACAUCCAGAGAACUUUACAGAGAUGCAUUGGUGCCUUCGGGAACUCUGAGACAGGUGCUGCAUGGCUGUCGUCAGCUCGUGUUGUGAAAUGUUGGGUUAAGUCCCGCAACGAGCGCAACCCUUAUCCUUCGUUUGCCAGCGAGUAAUGUCGGGAACUCCAGGAGACUGCCGGUGAUAACCGGAGAAGGUGGGGACGACGUCAAGUCAUCAUGGCCCUUUACGAGUAGGGCUAC